rnacentral:rRNA from 1 species
GACGAACGCUGGCGGCGUGCUUAACACAUGCAAGUCGAACGGAAAGGCCCUGCUUUUGUGGGGUGCUCGAGUGGCGAACGGGUGAGUAACACGUGAGUAACCUGCCCUUGACUUUGGGAUAACUUUAGGAAACUGGGGCUAAUACCGGAUAGGAGCUCCUGCUGCAUGGUGGGGGUUGGAAAGUUUCGGCGGUUGGGGAUGGACUCGCGGCUUAUCAGCUUGUUGGUGGGGUAGUGGCUUACCAAGGCUUUGACGGGUAGCCGGCCUGAGAGGGUGACCGGCCACAUUGGGACUGAGGUACGGCCCAGACUCCUACGGGAGGCAGCAGUGGGGAAUAUUGCACAAUGGGCGGAAGCCUGAUGCAGCAACGCCGCGUGCGGGAUGACGGCCUUCGGGUUGUAAACCGCUUUCGCCUGUGACGAAGCGUGAGUGACGGUAAUGGGUAAAGAAGCACCGGCUAACUACGUG